rnacentral:rRNA from 1 species
CCUACGGGAGGCAGCAGUGAGGAAUAUUGGUCAAUGGCCGGAAGGCUGAACCAGCCAAGCCGCGUGAAGGACGAAGGUGCUAAGCAUUGUAAACUUCUUUUGUCAGGGGACAAAUUCAGGCUCGUGAGCCUGUAUGAGGGUACUUGAAGAAAAAGCAUCGGCUAACUCCGUGCCAGCAGCCGCGGUAAUACGGAGGAUGCGAGCGUUAUCCGGAUUUAUUGGGUUUAAAGGGUGCGGGGGCGGACUGUUAAGUCAGCGGUAAAAGCCCGGGGCUCAACCCCGGCGAGCCGUUGAAACUGGCUGUCGUGAGAGGGCGAGAGGUAUGCGGAAUGCGCGGUGUAGCGGUGAAAUGCUUAGAUAUCGCGCAGAACUCCGAUUGCGAAGGCAGCAUACCGGCGGCGAACUGACGCUGAGGCACGAAAGCGUGGGUAUCGAACAGGAUUAGAUACCCUUGUAGUC